UUGACUCCUGAUCACACAGACCAGAUCCAGAAUCUUGUCUUGACUCCUGAUCACACAGACCAGCUCCAGCAUCUUGUCUUGACUCCUGUUCACACAGACCAGCUCCAGCAUCUUGUCUUGACUCCUGUUCACACAGACCAGCUCCAGCAUCUUGUCUUGACUCCUGAUCACACAGACCAGCUCCAGCAUCUUGUCUUGACUCCUGAUCACGCAGACCAGCCCCAGCAUCUUGUUACUGAAGCUCAACAGAACCUACAGAAUCUACUUGUGAAUCCAGUCUAAAUUCCUGUCAAUCAUGAGGUCCUUGGCUGUAGCUGUAACCCUGUGUGCACUGCUGCCACUUUUCCAUGCUGGCUGCUGGAUUGAACCAGCUAAACCAGGCAUGAGGCAGUGUCUUUACGACAAGGAUGGGACGUGGCAUGAUAUCGGGUCCCGCUGGAGGACCAGUGAUUGCAUGAACUGCUAUUGUCAAGCCAACGGGGACAUGUCAUGCUGCCAGGCGUAUUCUGAGCCCACAAGAUUUCCUGAUGAUUGCAUGAAGGAGUUUGACCAAAAGGCAUGUAAAUACAACGUGUUCAAGAAGAAUGAUCGCUCCAUUCCAUGUCCUAUCUACGGUGGUAAGGGGAAGUGAUGGGUUUUCUUCCCCCUGCUCUCAAUAAACAGGGAAUGAAGGAUGAAAGGGAAAAGUACAGUAAUUGUUUUAUAGAUUUAAUUGACAUAAUUGUUAGCUUAGCUCUGCCAUACUGUCUGGUAACUUUCUGUAACUGUAAUGAUUGAAAAGCCAUACUGUAAUAUGUCUAUCAUUGAAGAUCUGUUAUCAUCUGUGCUGACUGUGUCAUGAGAAGAACCUGGGUUCAAAUACUAUCUGAAACUGUGAGCGUUUGAUCUGUCCUGCCUGGAGUGCCAGAUGGGUGGGGUUUGCUAUUUUGGGACAAUUCUAUUGGUUCAUUAAGCCAGUGUUUCCCGACCCUGGUCCUCGAGUAUCCCCAACAGUACACAUGUUUACUGUAAACCAGGACAAGCACACUUGAUUCAACUUGUUGACUAAUCAUAAAGCCUUCAAUGAGUUGAAUGAGGUGUGUUUGUCCAGGGCUACAGUGUAAAUGUGUUCUGUUCGGGGUUCUGGAGGACCAGGGUUGGGCUGUUCGGGGUACUGGAGGACCAGGGGUGGGCUGUUCGGGGUUCUGGAGGACCAGGGUUGGGCUGUUUGGGGUUCUGGAGGA